UACGAAGGGGGCUAGCGUUGCUCGGAAUCACUGGGCGUAAAGGGCGCGUAGGCGGCGUUUUUAAGUCGGGGGUGAAAGCCUGUGGCUCAACCACAGAAUGGCCUUCGAUACUGGGACGCUUGAGUAUGGUAGAGGUUGGUGGAACUGCGAGUGUAGAGGUGAAAUUCGUAGAUAUUCGCAAGAACACCGGUGGCGAAGGCGGCUUUCUGGGCAUUUCCUGACGCUGAGACGCGAAAGCGUGGGGAGCGAACCGG
rnacentral:rRNA from 1 species